ensembl:snRNA U6 U6 spliceosomal RNA
GUGCUUGCUUCCAAAGCACAUAUACCAAAAUUAGAAUGAUACAGAGAGUAUUAGCAUGGCUCCUACAGGAGAAUGACAGGCGAAUUUGUGCAGCAUUUCAUAUUUUU